rnacentral:rRNA from 1 species
GACGAACGCUGGCGGCGUGCUUAACACAUGCAAGUCGAACGGAAAGGCCCUGCUUUUGUGGGGUGCUCGAGUGGCGAACGGGUGAGUAACACGUGAGUAACCUGCCCUUGACUUUGGGAUAACUUCAGGAAACUGGGGCUAAUACCGGAUAGGAGCUCCUGCUGCAUGGUGGGGGUUGGAAAGUUUCGGCGGUUGGGGAUGGACUCGCGGCUUAUCAGCUUGUUGGUGGGGUAGUGGCUUACCAAGGCUUUGACGGGUAGCCGGCCUGAGAGGGUGACCGGGCAAAAUGGGAAUGAGGUACGGGCCAGACUCCUAAGGGGGGGAGGAGGGGGGAAUAAUGGAAAAAGGGGGGAAGCCUGAUGCAGGAACGCCGCGUGGGGGAAGAAGGGCUUCGGGUUGGAAACCGCUUUCGCCUGUGACGAAGCGUGAGUGACGGUAAUGGGUAAAGAAGCACCGGCUAACUACGUG